rnacentral:lncRNA from 1 species
GGACUUUCCCAAAACAUAGGAGCAAUUCUGAAAAAUCCCUAAGCUAAGAGAAUCACGGCAACACCUUCCCCAUUUUUUCAAAAAAUCUAAUGUCUUCCCGACCCCUUUUGAGAUUUUCUUCUUUGUCCUCAAAAUAAAAAGAGAAAGAAAUACACGCACAAGUACAAAAAGAGAAAGGGACGAAAAAAGGAAAAGAAAACGGCAGAGUAAGUGCCAUUUUCUUGUUAGCUACGCAAUAUUUUGAAAAGGAUUCCAUUUUGACCUGGUUAGCUAAGUAAUAUUUUGGGCAUCGUAAAACCUCUUAGAUUCAAUGGAGAUUGAAUGCAGAUCAUUCGGUAGAUUCAAAACCAAAAGGUAUAGUUUUUCGAUGCCGAUUCGAG